AGUGAACGCUGGCGGCGUGCCUAAUACAUGCAAGUCGAACGAAGUGGAGCACGGGUGAGUAAGAUAUAGUGAAUCAGCCCUACACAGAGGAACAACAGGUGGAAAAAGCGGCUAAUAAAACAGAGUGUCGGAUGAGACUAUAACGUAUCAGCUAGUUGGUAAGGUAAUGGCUUACCAAGGCUAUGACGCGUAACUGGUCGGAGAGGAUGAUCAGUCACAUUGGAACUGAUGCACGGUCCAAACUCCUUCGUGAGUCAGCAGGUAGGAGUAUUGCGCAAUGGGGGUAACCCUGACGCAGCUUCGCCGCGUGGAGUAUGACACUUUUCGGGGCGUAAACUCCUUUUAUCAGGAAAGCGGUACCUGAUGAAUAAGCACCGGCUAACUCCGUGCCAGCCGCCGCGGUAAUAC
rnacentral:rRNA from 1 species